rnacentral:rRNA from 1 species
AGCGAACGCUGGCGGCGUGCCUAACACAUGCCAGUCGAACGUGAAAAGGGAAACCUGAGUAAAGUGGCGUACGGGUGAGUAACGCGUAGGUAAUCUACCCCAGAAUCUGGAAUAACCUGCCGAAAGGCGGGCUAAUACUGGAUAGAGCGAGGGAACUCGUAAGAGAGUUUUUCGGGAAAGGGAGCCCGCAAGGGCCUUCGUUCUGGGAUGAGCCUGCGUCUCAUCAGCUAGUUGGUAAGGUAACGGCUUACCAAGGCGAUGAUGAGUAGCUGGUCUGAGAGGAUGAUCAGCCACACUGGAACUGAAACACGGUCCAGACUCCUACGGGAGGCAGCAGUGGGGAAUCUUGCGCAAUGGACGAAAGUCUGACGCAGCCACGCCGCGUGAGUGAAGAAGGCCUUCGGGUUGUAAAGCUCUGUCGGAUGGGACGAACAUCUUCAUAGUGAAUAGCUAUGAGGACUGACGGUACCAUCAAAGGAAGCACCGGCUAACUCCGUG